CCUACGGGUGGCAGCAGUGGGGAAUAUUGCACAAUGGGGGAAACCCUGAUGCAGCGACGCCGCGUGAGUGAAGAAGGAUUUCGGUACGUAAAGCUCUAUCAGCAGGGAAGAAAAGGACGGUACCUGACGAAGAAGCCCCGGCGAACGACGUGCCAGCAGCCGCGGUAAUACGUAGGGGGCAAGCGUUAGCCGGAUUUACUGGGUGUCAAGGGAGCGUAGACGGCCGCGCAAGUCUGGAGUGAAAUCCCCUGGCUUAACCAUGGAACUGCUUGGGAAACUGUGCAGCUAGAGUGCAGGAGAGGUAAGCGUAAUUCCUCUUGUAGCGGUGAAAUGCGUAGAUAUUAGGAGGAACCCCAGUGGCGAAGGCGGCUUACUGGACUGUAACUGACGUUGAGGCUCGAAAGCGUGGGGAGCACACAGGCUUAGAUACCCUUGUAGUC
rnacentral:rRNA from 1 species